rnacentral:rRNA from 1 species
UACGUAGGCAGCAAGCGUUGUUCGGAGUUACUGGGCGUAAAGGGUGUGUAGGCGGUUUUCUAAGUCUGGGGUGAAAUCUCCCGGCUCAACUGGGAGGGUGCGCCGAAAACUGGAAGGCUAGAGUGCGGGAUGGGAGAGUGGAAUUCCUGGUGUAGCGGUGAAAUGCGUAGAUAUUGGGAAGAACACCGGUGGCGAAAGCGCUCUGCUGGACCUGCACUGACACUGAGGGACGAAAGCUAGGGGAGCGAAAGGG